UCCUGACGGGUUCAGUUGGAAGAACAUGUGACUCUUGAUCUCAGGGUCAUGGGUUUGAGCCCCAUGUUGGGCG
rnacentral:tRNA from 1 species